AUGCAAUUUGAACAUAUAAGUAGACCAUUACAAUUCCAGAUCAGAAUUACAUGAAAUUUUAGGACAGAAAAAGCAAUAUUAACAUGACUUCGACACAACAGGAAUGAUGUAGAAAUCAAAAGACUCAAUCAAAUAAGGUGAACCGAAUUAAAAUGAUGAAAUCAGACUCAAAGCACAGGUCAACACAAACAGAUGCACAGAACAUUAAAGGAAAAUAUGAACAACUCAAUAAACGCGAAUCAAAUGAACAAAUCGCAAAGAGUAAAAAACAAGACAGAUUCACAAAAUCAAAACUCAACACAAGAAAUGAAGAAAUAACAGAGAACGAAACAGAAGCAUGAAUCAAAACUGAAACAGAAAAUGACAUCAAAGAAAAACGCAAAUCAAAUGAAACAAGAAUAAAGACAGAAGGAGAUACUUAGCUCUUGUAGCGCGCUCGAACCGAGCUCUGAAUACCACUUGAUGGAAGAG
rnacentral:lncRNA from 1 species